GCGUUGAUUUUGCCCUUUAUUUAGCCUGCUAAUCGUAUCCUUGAUCCCGAUGAGUAGCGGAAUUAGCAACAACAACUAAACUAUUUUCGAACUCAGCCUCGAACUUUCGAUACCAUUCGUUACAUUCAAAGGAAGGUUGUUGCAUUUCCUUGGUACCUUACCGUGCUUGACACUGAGACCCAUAAAGGCUGUUGCAGUUUCAUCGCCUCUGGAUUAGUUGCGAUCAUAUCGUCGCUUUAUCCAAGUUGUACAUAUAUAUCAGUGUUGACUGUAUUUGGGAAACAUGUAUUCGUUCGCGAUACAUUUUCGGUCGGCAUUAGUUGCAGAGUGGCAUUUAGUAAGAGUGUGCAAUUUUUGCGGCUGAUUUACCGCGGCGCGCCUGAUCAUGUCGAAAAAAAAAUUCAGUCCGGACGAAUUAGAGAAAUAGUUGCAACAGGUGGUGAGAUAAUUAGAAGAUAAGGAGAAGAAGAUCUGUCAGCAGACGUGAUUCAUAAUCAGAGUUUUACCAGAAGAAAUCGUUUAUUAAUGAUUAACUGAGUGACUUUUUACAAUGAUAAUAGAAUUUAACAACUAACUAACUACUUCUUCCAAUGGCACACACAACUGUCAGUUAAACAUAACCGGCAACAUGGCACACAGUUACAAGUAACUGUACUAUUAAUAAGAUCUACAAUAGAACAUUAACGAUUUUGACAGCGAUUCAAACCUAGAGCCAGAAGUUACUGAAAGUAACGUUUAUAGCAGUGAUUCUGAACAAUAAGCAGAUGAAGAAGCAGAAUUUGAACCACGUGAACAAGACAAAGAUAAUCAAUUUCUUAUUGACAAAAACAAUUAUAUUU